AUUUUGGAAUUAUAUGACUGGAAUCUUAAAGGUCCUUUGUUUGAAGACAGUCCUCCCUGCUGCCCAAGAUUUCAUUUCAUGCCACGUUUUGUAAGAUUUCUUCCAGAUGGAGGAAAGGAAGUGCUGUCCAUGCACCAGAUUCUCCUGUACUUGUUAAGGUGCAGCAAAGCCCUGGUGCCCGAGGAGGAGAUUGCCAAUAUGCUUCAGUGGGAGGAGCUGGAGUGGCAGAAAUAUGCAGAAGAAUGCAAAGGCAUGAUUGUUACCAACCCUGGGACGAAACCAAGCUCUGUCCGUAUCGAUCAACUGGAUCGUGAACAGUUCAACCCCGAUGUGAUUACUUUUCCGAUUAUCGUCCACUUUGGGAUACGCCCUGCACAGUUGAGUUAUGCAGGAGACCCACAUGCCCUCUAGAGGAAAGUAGCACAUAUUGGUUCCUAGCACUGCCGAAUUUAUGCAGAGUUCUCUUUUUGGGGGCAUCUUAAGAGUUCAAGAUCACAUGCAAAGUCAAGGUUGUGUUGGAAGUAGGAGCCGUGACUUCUGACUCUUAGGAUUGAC
rnacentral:sRNA from 1 species